rnacentral:ncRNA from 1 species
AGAAAAGUAUCAAUUAGAAGAGUAACCAGGUCCGGCUUUUUCCAGAGAGCUCAAGUUGGUGCGAUUGAGCAAAAGCCGCCUGGAGAAACACAUCUAAGAACUGGUUGGCCGAAAUAAAGUAGGCCUUCCCGCUAGCGAGCGUUACCACGGCUGCCCUGGGUGUUCCUGGAAACUGGCCUUCUUUGCCCUUUCCGGCGACUAGUCAGCGGCAGUGUAAGGUCAGUUGCCGUGAGACAGCUGAUGAAAUGAAGUGGGGCCACGACUAACAAUCGUCUUCAAG